rnacentral:rRNA from 1 species
AUUGAACGCUGGCGGCAGGCCUAACACAUGCAAGUCGAGCGGAUGGCGGGAGCUUGCUUCUUGAUUCAGCGGCGGACGGGUGAGUAAUGCCUAGGAAUCUGCCUGGUAGUGGGGGACAACGUUUCGAAAGGAACGCUAAUACCGCAUACGUCCUACGGGAGAAAGCAGGGGACCUUCGGGCCUUGCGCUAUCAGAUGAGCCUAGGUCGGAUUAGCUAGUUGGUGAGGUAAUGGCUCACCAAGGCGACGAUCCGUAACUGGUCUGAGAGGAUGAUCAGUCACACUGGAACUGAGACACGGUCCAGACUCCUACGGGAGGCAGCAGUGGGGAAUAUUGGACAAUGGGCGAAAGCCUGAUCCAGCCAUGCCGCGUGUGUGAAGAAGGUCUUAGGAUUGUAAAGCACUUUAAGUUGGGAGGAAGGGCAGUAAGUUAAUACCUUGCUGUUUUGACGUUACCGACAGAAUAAGCACCGGCUAACUCUGUGCCAGCCGCCGCCGUAA